CCAGCACCCCGAGUGGUCGGGACGAUUAUUGGGCCUAAAGCAUCCGUAGCCGGUUUUACAAGUCCUCCGUUAAAUCCAACUGCUUAACAGAUGGGCCGCGGAGGAUACUAUAAGACUAGGAGGCAGGAGAGGCAAGCGGUACUCAGUGGGUAGGGGUAAAAUCCGUUGAUCCAUUGAAGACCACCAGUGGCGAAGGCGGCUUGCCAGAAUGCGCUCGACGGUGAGGGAUGAAAGCUGGGGGAGCAAACCGGAUUAGAUACCCGGGUAGUCCCAGCCGUAAACGAUGCAGACUCGGUGAUGGACCAGCUUCAUGCUAGUCCAGUGCUGCAGGGAAGCCGUUAAGUCUGCCGCCUGGGUAGUACGGUCGCAAGACUG
rnacentral:rRNA from 1 species